AACGAACGCUGGCGGCAGGCUUAACACAUGCAAGUCGAGCGCCCCGCAAGGGGAGUGGCAGACGGGUGAGUAACGCGUGGGAAUCUACCCAUCUCUACGGAAUAACGCAUGGAAACGUGUGCUAAUACCGUAUACGUCCUUCGGGAGAAAGAUUUAUCGGAGAUGGAUGAGCCCGCGUUGGAUUAGCUAGUUGGUGGGGUAAAGGCCUACCAAGGCGACGAUCCAUAGCUGGUCUGAGAGGAUGAUCAGCCAAGCUGGGACUGAGACACGGCCCAGACUCCUACGGGAGGCAGCAGUGGGGAAGAUUGGACAAUGGGCGCAAGCCUGAUCCAGCAAUGCCGCGUGAGUGAUGAAGGCCCUAGGGUUGUAAAGCUCUUUCACCGGUGAAGAUAAUGACGGUAACCGGAGAAGAAGCCCCGGCUAACUUCGUGCCAGCAGCCGCCGUAAUAC
rnacentral:rRNA from 1 species